rnacentral:sRNA from 1 species
UCGUCAGUCCUACGGCUUAUAUGGCCAGCC